rnacentral:misc_RNA from 1 species
CGCGCAUGCACUGAGGAGCAGCCACCACCAAGCCACGCCCACAGACGGAGACAGUACGCGCGGUCGCCGCGCCGAGCACUGCCCCAGCUGGUGUGACGUCAGCAUAGCCACACAUGGCCUCGCACCGCCGCUGGUGUAACGUAGCAUAACCGCGUAUGGCCUAUGCAUAGCCGUGUCCGUAGCUACCAAAGCCGAUGUACAGCCGUGCCGUAGCUAGUUUACGGAACCGAUGACCAGGUGGAUGCGUAUCCUCACGAUGACGCAGUCAUUUUUAAUCUUUAUCUUAAUGGCCAAAGUUGCAUGUAUUGCACCAGUGCGGGAAGUCAGAUGCCCAGUGAGACGCCUACCACGUGAAUGCACAUUUUUCGGGAACACAAUUCCUGCUGGAGAGACCCGUUCUUUCGAGGACCCGUGCGCCCUAGUUUCUUGUACUCGUGGGGCUCUGUCCGUAAUUGUAUCAGGGGCACGAAUGUUUCUUCCGCUGUCACAAGCAGAAACACUGCACAACCGUCACUGACCUGCAAGGCGUACGCGUUCUUUCCACGCACUGUUGAAGCCCCGUGGCUACCAACAGGUUUUGUAAACGAUGCUAGGUACAAUAACCACCGGUUGAACACUGCGUAGCGAACAACGCGGCAUAAAAAUUGAAUAUCCGCCACGGUUCGAUACGAGACCUACGGAGGCGCUCAAGCCACCGCCGCUACGCCAGCUACACUGCACAACACGGCGCGCCACGUAACCAUAGCAACGCCGCCAUUGUGCCCAGUGGAUGAGACCACUAUGACGUCAUUUUCUCCACACUUUUCUGCUAGCGCGCCGGCUCGGCAUGCCCUCUCCUCAGUUCUUUCCUCCCUCCCCCUCCCCCGCCCCCCGCAAGGACAAAAAUAAAGUUAUGUCUCUCUCUCCUCUGUGGCUCCGUCGG